GGGGCUGUGGUGAAAUUGGUAUACACUGAUCACUUAAAAUGAUCCGCUCGUGAGAGCAUGUGGGUUCGACUCCCACCAGCCCUA
rnacentral:tRNA from 1 species